rnacentral:misc_RNA from 1 species
AAAUUGAUGUAUUUCCUUGACUAGUAUAAUUAACUAACACCGAAGGUGAGCAAGGUGAGGAUGGACUUAGAUCCACAUAACACUUGCUUAAUUCUGGAAGGGUACAAUGCUCAAUAAUCCCAUCAAAAAUAUAAUCUUUUAACAUUUUCAAGUCACGCAAAGAUACAACUAUUGUUUCUUUCCUUUUGCUCAUUUUUGCACCAAACAGAGAGAUCUACAGAGAGGGAAAAGGACAGAGAAGUUUCGUUUAGAUUGGUGAUAUAAGGAAAUUGAUGAUGGGAU